UUUUUUAUGGUGUAUUAACACGUUACAUUUUCAUUGUAAAGCUGAGGGGGACCCCUCUAAAAAAC
rnacentral:tRNA from 1 species